AUCAAAAAUACAACAAAGAAAAUAACAAAGAAAAUAACAAAGAAAAAUGAAAGAGAAA
rnacentral:rRNA from 1 species